CUCAUCCCGGUGUUAAAUUAUUUGCUUUAUAUAUUUAUCAGCCAAAGAAGAUGUUGUUUGUAUAUUGUCUGAUUCUAAGUUUUGCAUUUUCAAAUUAAUACCGUGGAAGCUUCAUCAACUCAAUUUCGUUAGCAUCGUCAUUGGGACAUUGAAUAUUUGUGGGUGGACAUCAAUCACGCUAACAUAAAAGGAUUACUUUUUCAUAUGCAAUGUGCAAAUCAUUAGAGUUGUGAAGGAACUAGAUUGGCGUUAUGUUGGAUGUCGAGAUUGUGCAAAAAAAAAAACAAUCAACUUCAGGACAAGUCUGUUGCAAAUCAUGUAAUAGGGAAGUAGUGGCUCAAAUCAGAAAAUAGUAGGCAGUCAGAUUUUUAAGAUCAGAUUGUCACAAGCUAUUAAAAACAAAUGGCUGGAGAUCGGGAAACAAUUAGUCUCGAGAAAGGUGACGGAGAAGGUCGUUAAGAACAUCUCGGAGUAGGGAAUUUCCACGCUUAAAUAAUCCAAGACCCCAUUUAAGCCUGCAAUUGUUCUAUUUUAGGUUUUGCUCUUAUUUCUCUUCUUUUUACUGGCUUUGUUUCUUUUUCCCCCUAAUGAUAAAUAUACGAUAUUAUAAUGUUUGUCUUUGAGACACGAUAUAGUUAAGAGGAUAGUUUGCAUUAUUUUGUAAGAUGAACUAAAAUAUGCAUCAAGAGAUAACUCCUUCGUAAAAAUUCAUGAUUGGUUGUCACUCAAGUGACUGAUUCAUGAA